GAAAAGUUCUAUAAAUUCUCAUUGACACAAAUCAGAUCGAUGGCUCACGCUUUUUGAGCUUCUGGAUCUGCGAGGCUGUGUAGGCCCGUUUUCCAUGGUAGAUAUCUAUUUUCUUUCAGGGAGAGGCUGUUUUCUUUUGGCUGUGCCUGAUUGGAAAGGAAAUCUCAGUUCCUAUUCUUCGGUUGAUCCUCCAGGAACUAAAGUCCAGGCAGUCUGUCGCAGAUGGACCCUUAAUCGAACCUUGGUCUAGGCUGAAAGGUAGUGAUCUUAGGCUUGGGUUGAGCGAUUUUUGUGGUUCAAAGUUGAAGUUCAAUGUAAUUAAAGAAAAUUUGAAUACAAUAAGAGGAUCUUUGCUCUGCCAUGACUGCUAAGGGAGUGCCAUCCCUUAAUCAUCUUCGUAGGAAGAAGAGCUGUCGGUAAGUAACCCAAGUCCAGUAACCGAUCGCCGUCGGUCAGAUGUUUGACUCCACUGGGUCACGGGCACAAAGUGAUAAUCAUCAUCAAUGGCCACAAAGUACGUGGGAAUCCUUCCAGCGCCUUUCACGAAUGUCAUCCCACGACAGAUGCAGUCGACGCCGAAUUCACGCAACAGAAGGGCUGUCUCCUCUGUCACGUGGAUGUGUCCGAUUCGGCCGGUGGAAUACAUGCGGGAAGCCAUGUUGACCGGACUGCCCCAGAUGUCGUAGUGUGGGUGAGAGGCGCCCACAACGCCGGCCAUCACCUCGCCACUGGAGAUGCCGAUGGCCAUGUCACCGACUAUCAAAGAGCGAUCAUAAUGCCACUGAAGAUCUUCGUAGGACUUCUUGACUGUCCAGAGGGUACGCAUUAGGUCCAAGGCAAACGUGGCCAUCACAAAGACCACCUCCUCGUGGCUCUCAACACUUUCCUUAGUGGAAGACUUGCGUGUGCGUUGGGCCUGCUCCACUAGAGGGAUAGCGACUAUUAGUAACUGAAUCUACUAUUCAUUCAUUGCGGCUUACCCUCCUCCAAAAGGGAAUCGCGCUUCGCCAGCCAGUUGUUGACGCGGUCGGCAUAGUUCACGUCCAAUCCACAAGCUGCCAUAUAAGUGCAGCCCACAAUCUUGAUCUUCUCCACCACGUAGUACUCCUGAUAGUGAAUCAACUGCAAUAGGAAUGAAUGGAAUGGAACAUCUCGGACUUAUAGCGGGGCUCACCAGUCUAUCAAACUCCCUGAUGAUCUCGUUGAGGAUGCGCAAGUGCCGCAGGUCCAUUUCAAAGUUCGUUAGCGAGGCAAACAUGACGGAGACCAUUUUAUAUUCCUCAUAGUAGAGCUCGUGCUUGGCCAGGUUUCUAAUGUAGACUUUGACUGUGGAAAGGGCGAGAGAAAUCGAUCGAUGAGAGCCAGUCAGUGAGAGCCAAGGGACCCCAGACCCACCGACAUGAGCGGGAAAUCAACGCUCCAUCUGUAUGAGAUAAUCGAUAAUCGAUAUUCCAUCAGGAGCGAUAUACUCACUCGAAGCCGAUUUUAUUGUUGAACUCCGAAUGUCGCUCUUUCAGGUACAUCAUAAAUAGGGUUAUCAAGAUCCGCAUGCCAUGCGCGAUUUCCGAGGGAAACCAUGGAUUAAUGGUGGCGCUGUGAUGGAACACGAAAUCGAACUGGAAAAAUAUAAUAACCAUAUAGACGAUUGUGAAGCACAGAGUGAUGACCGUCUUGACCAUGAACGGUAUGCGGGCGAAUGUGAAGCUGACGCCAAUGAUCAGGGCCACCAUAUUUGUGACCACCCAGGGAUGGAAGCACAUGUUCAGAUCCAUCUCGUAGUGAUACAGUUUGCUCUCAAUGUCGUUCAUCUGGAACUCCUCCCAAUUGCAGUUGACCUACGAGUCCAUAACGAAGUGAAACCGUGGCUCUCUAGUGAGCAAAGCACUCACCAUUAUGAGAACGAUGAGGGAGAAGUACGAUGCCAAGAUCAAGACGUAGAUACAAACCCGCACCGUCAGGUGACGUACGAUCUUAUCAUGGAGGCGGAAUAUCCUGCAGUUCGACUUGUUAAACAGGAUCUUAUCGCUGCGACCGUACAUCCACCAGCAAAUCUUCUUGUACCAGGCUAUCAGAAGCAGCGCCGUGAGGCAAAAGAACGCAAAAAAGUUUAUCACAAUGCAUAUAUCGCAAGGAUCGAGGCUCUCAAUCAACUGAAUGUAGAUCAGGCUACAGCCACUGCACCAGGCCAGCAGAAUGCUGUACUUAAACAUGUAGUCCGACUGCAUCAAAUACUUCCAUUCCAAAUGGGGAUCGUUAAAAUGGAGACAGAUCUUAUGUAUGGAGGGAUCGGCAGUCGGUUGAGUCUUACGUCCAAAACAGGCUGACCAAGACUUGAAAAGUCUGUGGAGUAGGGAGCAGUGAUGGCAGGAUUCGAUACAUCAGAGUCCUCUGUGGGAUCUACUUACUCAACGCCACUGACCGGCAUAUUUUUAAACUCUUCACGCAGCUCAUCGUUAAUCGAAUCGUCGGUCGCAAAAUGCGUGUGAAAUUCCGGUCUCUCGCUGAUGUCCAGUGCCGACACGGACAAGGACCCCCAACUGUCCAAUCGAAAGGGCUCGGCCAGAGCGCUCUCCGUGCCGGGAAAUAUGGUGUACUGAUCAGCAUCCAAUUGCGACAAAGUCCUGCCACUGAUGUGGACGAAGCCUGGCGCACCGGUGGACUCGAGAAGAUUGGCAAUGGUCACGUCGGUUCCUGCACAAAGGAGGAGUAUUAUCUUCAAGGAAUGCUGAUCUGGAAUGUCCCACGCACCCCAUAUGUCGAACUGCAGCUUAGCUUCGCCAAUGACUCCAGCAAUCACGCUACCCGAA